CAAUAGCGUAUAUUAAAGUUGUUGCAGUUAAAAAGCUCGUAGUUGGAUUUGUGGCGUACGGUGUGUUCCGGGCACUUGUUGUCUGAGUAACCUGCUGUUGCCAUCCUUGGGUGGAACCUGUGUGGCAUUAGGUUGUCGUGCAGGGGAUGCCCAUCAUUUACUGUGAAAAAAUUAGAGUGUUCAAAGCAGGCUUAUGCCGUUGAAUAUAUUAGCAUGGAAUAAUGAGAUAGGACUUUUUCGCUAUUUUGUUGGUUUGCGCAAAGAGGUAAUGAUUAAUGGGGACAGUUGGGGGUAUUCGUAUUCCAUUGUCAGAGGUGAAAUUCUUGGAUUUUUGGAAGACGAACUACUGCGAAAGCAUUUACCAAGGAUGUUUUCAUUAA
rnacentral:rRNA from 1 species